AACAUCGCGCACCUGCGGGAACCUGCGGAAGGAUCAUUACAGAAUUGCAAAACUCCCUAAACCAUUGUGAACGUUACCUAAACCGUUGCUUCGGCGGGCGGCCCGGGUCCUUCCCGGCGCCCAUCGGCCCUCGCGGGCGCCCGCCGGAGGUAAACCAAACUAUUGCAUUGUAUGGCCUCUCUGAGUCUUCUGUACUGAAUAAGUCAAAACUUUCAACAACGGAUCUCAGAUCGGAAGAGC
rnacentral:misc_RNA from 1 species